UACAGAGGGUGCGAGCGUUAAUCGGAAUUACUGGGCGUAAAGCGCACGUAGGCGGCUUGGUAUGUCGGGUGUGAAAUCCCCGGGCUCAACCUGGGAACUGCAUCCGAAACUGCCUUGCUCGAGUAUGGGAGAGGGAAGUGGAAUUUCCGGUGUAGCGGUGAAAUGCGUAGAUAUCGAAAGGAACAUCAGUGGCGAAGGCGACUUCCUGGACCAAUACUGACGCUCAGGUGCGAAAGCGUGGGGAGCAAACAGG
rnacentral:rRNA from 1 species